UGUCAAUACUAUUCAGCGGAGAUGUCUCUCUCUUGGCGGUCGAUUUGCCAGAGCUAUUGCCUCUUCCUUUCAGCUCCAUCACCAUCAAUCGAUCGUCCACCGUCUCCGAUCAGCUACGGCCGCCGUCAAAUCUCCCUCGCUGGCCACCGCAGCCUCCGCCGCAACGGAGCGGAGCAUCGACGCUCAUCACCACCAAUCGGACUUCUCUCGAGAAUUCACAACGACAACGACAACCACUGCACACUCUCUGAAGCUUGGUGCGCGCGCGAGAGCCCGAGGAACCGAGCGAAGCAAGAACACAACGCACGGACCGAGAAAUUCAUCGCAUAGCUUCGUCUUCGUGAGAUUCUCGAAGUCUUUCAGUUUCUUCAUUUAUUAGCAGGUAACCAUUCGGAUCUCCCCAAGGUAGGAUACGGUCCACACUCAAUCAUACGAUUGUUCUGUAUUGCCUUCUGUUGUCUAUUCCUUGGUCUCAGAUUCGUCGAUUCCUGUCUUGCAAUUUUUAGCUGGGUUUCUCAUGUUAUAUUCCUCGCCAAUUGAUAGGAAUUCCCGUUUGCAUAACACCUCGCCCUUCAUGCUCACCACCUGUUCGACGUUUUGCCUCGGAGAUGACGAUGAUGAAUUAAUUGAUCAAUUUGAGAUUGCAUCGGAGUGAUUUGUAUGUUACUGUUCAAUGUGCUGAUCAUACAUUGCGAAUUGAUGCUUCAUCCUUCGAUGGCCUAGAGUUCUCCUUCC